GCUCAGAAACUCAAAGGAAUUGACGGGGGCCCGCACAAGCGGUGGAGCAUGUGGUUUAAUUCGAUGAUACGCGAGGAACCUUACCUGGGCUCAAAUGUAUGUUGACGUAUUCUGAAAGGGAUACUUCUUCGGACAAUAUACAAGGUGCUGCAUGGUUGUCGUCAGCUCGUGCCGUGAGGUGUCGGGUUAAGUCCCAUAACGAGCGCAACCCCUAUCAUUAGUUGCCAUCAGGUCAAGCUGGGGACUCUAAUGAAACUGCCUACGCAAGUAGUGAGGAAGGUGGGGAUGACGUCAAAUCAGCACGGCCCUUACGUCCAGGGCUACACACGUGCUACAAUGGCCGGUACAAAGGGUUGCCAAGCCGCGAGGUGGAGCUAAUCCCAUAAAACCGAUCGUAGUCCGGAUCGCAGUCUGCAACUCGACUGCGUGAAGUCGGAAUCGCUAGUAAUCGUGAAUCAGAAUGUCACGGUGAAUACGUUCCCGGGCCUU
rnacentral:rRNA from 1 species